rnacentral:rRNA from 22 species
CCUUUUUUGACUGUCUCUCUCUCCACCCUUCUAAACUUCUUUCCGCGUGAAGAAGCGCGAAUACCCUAGAAAGACGAGAAGACCCUGUCGAGCUUCAGCUAACAAGCGAACAAGCGAUCCUCAUCGCUGAACUUUCUCUCGCCCAAAAGCUUUGGUUGGGGCAACCAUGGAGUAAAUUCACCCUCCAGAACACGCAGAAGAGCACCCCUCUCUACUAUCACUUCAAAGAACCAUAAAUUGGAAAUCGGAAAAAGUUACCGCAGGGAUAACAGCGUCAUCCCCUCUGAGAGUCCUUAUUGACGAGGGGGUUUGCGACCUCGAUGUUGGAUUGGGGCCCCCUUAGGGUGCAGAAGCUCUAAACGGUUAGACUGUUCGUCUAUUAAAGCCCU